GGACAGAUGGCCGAGUUGGUCUAAGGCGGUACGUUCAGGUCGUACUCUCGUAAGAGGCGUGGGUUCGAAUCCCACUCUGUUCA